rnacentral:lncRNA from 1 species
AAUACCUUUCUAUCUUUAGUUCUUCUCAUAAAUGCAACAGCCAUUUAUGUAUCCAAACGGGCCACGGUAGUACGCCCGGUCUCCUGCCUUCCUCGCUUGAAGUAUCUGGGGCCACAUUUUCUCUCUCUCCAGCCGGUCCUCCUUUGUGAGAUCCUCCAUGAAGCGGACACCAGUUGCCUCGCAAACCGGAGACGUUUUAGUCAUCUUCCAUAUGCCAUCUCUGUACUGUCGUUUGGUAAACUGUACAAUAACCUUCUCAGCCCAUUCUGGAGCCACCUUCCCCAGGAGUUGAAUCACGUCCAGCCGAACGUUUUCCCCCAUCGCCUCCUUCAUCCCUCUGAUUCUCAUGUUCCAUCGGCAUUUAUAUCGAUCCAGUUUCCUUGCAUCCUCUUGGAGCAGCCAACCUCCACAGCAGCCACCUUCUCCUUACAAUCGUUCACUUCAGCCGCAUUAAAUUCUAGAGCUCUGAGAGGAUGUGGUGACUUUGAUUGUAUCUCUUCGAAUGCAAACGAUUGUGUACAGGAAAAAUAAAGCAGUGGACUUGGGAGGAGAGCAA